GGGUUGUGAGGUUAAGCGACUAAGCGUACACGGUGGAUGCCCUGGCAGUCAGAGGCGAUGAAGGGCGUGCUAAUCUGCGAUAAGCGCCGGUAAGGUGAUAUGAACCGUUAUAACCGGCGAUACCCGAAUGGGGAAACCCAGUGUGAUUCGUCACACUAUCAUUAACUGAAUCCAUAGGUUAAUGAGGCGAACCGGGGGAACUGAAACAUCUAAGUACCCCGAGGAAAAGAAAUCAACCGAGAUUCCCCCAGUAGCGGCGAGCGAACGGGGAGGAGCCCAGAGCCUGAAUCAGCAUGUGUGUUAGUGGAAGCGUCUGGAAAGGCGCGCGAUACAGGGUGACAGCCCCGUACACAAAAGCGCAUGUGCUGUGAGCUCGAUGAGUAGGGCGGGACACGUGGUAUCCUGUCUGAAUAUGGGGGGACCAUCCUCCAAGGCUAAAUACUCCUGACUGACCGAUAGUGAACCAGUACCGUGAGGGAAAGGCGAAAAGAACCCCGGCGAGGGGAGUGAAAAAGAACCUGAAACCGUGUACGUACAAGCAGUGGGAGCCCCACCACCAAAGCAUUCUCUGGUGUUGAAGGCCCUGCAAAGCAGCAUCGCGGUGGCGGAGCGUCGUUUGCGACGCCCAACACACAAAACAAGCGGUGAGUGCUUUGGGGUGGGGUGACUGCGUACCUUUUGUAUAAUGGGUCAGCGACUUAUAUUCUGUAGCAAGGUUAACCGUAUAGGGGAGCCGCAGGGAAACC
rnacentral:rRNA from 1 species